CUUAAGUGGGGAAUAACGCAUCGAAAGGUGUGCUAAUACCGCAUAAUCUCUGAGGAGAAAAGCAGGGGAUCGCAAGACCUUGCGCUUUUGGAGCGGCCGAUGUCUGAUUAGCUUGUUGGUAAGGUAAAAGCUUACCAAGGCUUCGAUCAGUAGCUGGUCUGAGAGGACGACCAGCCACACUGGGACUGAGACACGGCCCAGACUCCUACGGGAGGCAGCAGUGGGGAAUUUUGGACAAUGGGGGCAACCCUGAUCCAGCCAUGCCGCGUGAGUGAAGAAGGCUUUCGGGUUGUAAAGCUCUUUCAGCCGGAACGAAACGGUUACGGUUAAUACCCGUGACUACUGACGGUACCGGAAGAAGAAGCACCGGCUAACUACGUGCCAGCAGCCGCGGUAAUACGUAGGGUGCGAGCGUUAAUCGGAAUUACUGGGCGUAAAGCGUGCGCAGGUGGUUUUGUAAGUCAGAUGUGAAAUCCCCGGGCUCAACCUGGGAACUGCGUUUGAAACUACAAGGCUAGAGUGUGGCAGAGGGGGGUGGAAUUCCGCGUGUAGCAGUGAAAUGCGUAGAGAUGUGGAGGAACACCGAUGGCGAAGGCAGCCCCCUGGGUCAACACUGACGCUCAGGCACGAAAGCAUGGGGAGCAAACAGGAUUAGAUACCCUGGUAGCCCAUGCCCUAAACGAUGUCAACUAGUUGUCGGGCCUUAACGGGCUUGGUAACGUAGCUAACGCGUGAAGUUGACCGCCUGGGGAGUACGAUCGCAAGAUUAAAACUCAAAGGAAUUGACGGGGACCCGCACAAGCGGUGGAUUAUGUGGAUUAAUUCGAUGCAACGCGAAAAACCUUACCUACCCUUGACAUGUAUCGAAGCCCGCAGAAAAGCGGGGGUGCCCGAAAGGGAACGAUAACACAGGUGCUGCAUGGCUGUCGUCAGCUCGUGUCGUGAGAUGUUGGGUUAAGUCCCGCAACGAGCGCAACCCUUGUCAUUAAUUGCCAUCAUUUAGUUGGGCACUUUAAUGAGACUGCCGGUGACAAACCGGAGGAAGGUGGGGAUGACGUCAAGUCCUCAUGGCCCUUAUGGGUAGGGCUUCACACGUAA
rnacentral:rRNA from 1 species